AGAGUUUGAUCAUGGCUCAGGACGAACGCUGGCGGCGUGCUUAACACAUGCAAGUCGAGCGGUAAGGCUCCUUCGGGAGUACACGAGCGGCGAACGGGUGAGUAACACGUGAGCAAUCUGCCCUUCACUUUGGGAUAACUUCCGGAAACGGAAGCUAAUACCGAAUACGACCAUUGCGGACAUCCGCUGAUGGUGGAAAGUUCCGGCGGUGAAGGAUGAGCUCGCGGCCUAUCAGCUUGUUGGUGGGGUAACGGCCUACCAAGGCGACGACGGGUAGCCGGCCUGAGAGGGUGACCGGCCACACUGGGACUGAGACACGGCCCAGACUCCUACGGGAGGCAGCAGUGGGGAAUAUUGGACAAUGGGCGAAAGCCUGAUCCAGCAACGCCGCGUGAGGGAUGACGGCCUUCGGGUUGUAAACCUCUUUCAGCAGGGACGAAGCGAAAGUGACGGUACCUGCAGAAGAAGCACCGGCCAACUACGUGCCAGCAGCCGCGGUA
rnacentral:rRNA from 1 species